UAUGUUGCUAUGGGAACAGAGUCAUCAUCUCCAAAUCACUUAUGAAACUAUCUACCAUUUCUUGUCUUCAUUAGAAUAAAUCAGUCUUACCAUGAUGUUGGACAAACCUAAUUUAACAAAUUUAGAAAAACACCCUAUGUCAGUCUUCUGCCCCCUGGUGGACAUGUGGUGAAUUACAGCAUGCAUUGCUGAUGUAUUGCUCUCUCUCUCUCUCUCCCUCCCUCUCUCUCUCUCUCUCUUCUGUGUGAGCCCCAUCUUAUGUUUGUUGUCUGUUUGUGAAGGGUGAUGGGACUGGUAUCUGCAGCAUCUACGGGGGCCCAUUUGCAGAUGAAAACUUCAAAUACAAGCAUUCUGCGCCUGGUCUUCUGUCCAUGGCGAACAGUGGACCAGGGACAAAUGGUUGUCAGUUCUUCAUUACCUGCGCUAAAUGCGACUGGUUAGAUGGAAAGCAUGUUGUCUUUGGUGAGUCAAUCAACAGUAUCACUUCACAUCUAUUCAGAGGUCUAAUUUAAAUUUUAAAUUGUUUUGUGCCAUAGUUCAAGUGUCUGUUUUACGACUGUUUCACUGAGACCCUACACAGGAACCUGGAGCCUGUGCAAAGGUGCGCAGAUGUCCUAGGGUGAAGAGACUCUAUACAUUCUGUAUUACAUACAGAUUUGUGGCCACUGUGUACCUCCAGGCCGAUGUUUUGCUCCACCUGCCUGUCUAAAAUCUUCCAAAAAGCACAAGUACAUUUGUUAUAUAUCAAAGAGCAAAUAUGAUAGAUGCACAUAAUUGUUUGCAUUUACUUAAUGGCAGGAAAUCUCUUUUUAGAUGCAGCUUCCUGUGACAAUCCGGACUCUUAGAAAUAUCAGAGAGGCUGGACAGACUCCACUCCCUGGAUCCUUCUCGUCUUGCCUCCAUCAGGACCUUGAUGACUUGGAGCCUACAACAUACAGCAUGAGGAGGACAUGAACAGGAGAAGGUGAGAGGACCAACAUGUGUAAAGGGAGGGGCAGUGGGCCAGAUUCCAGCGAGAGGUAAAUGCUAACAGA
rnacentral:lncRNA from 1 species